GACGAACCGAGCGAACGUUGUUCGGAAUCACUGGGCUUAAAGGGCGCGUAGGCGGGUGCUCAAGUCUGUGGUGAAAUCCUCCAGCUUAACUGGAGAACUGCCAUGGAUACUGGGUGUCUCGAGGAAGAUAGGGGUAUGCGGAACGAUUGGUGGAGCGGUGAAAUGCGUUGAUAUCAAUCGGAACUCCGGUGGCGAAGGCGGCAUACUGGAUCUUAUCUGACGCUGAGGUGCGAAAGCGUGGGGAGCAAACGG
rnacentral:rRNA from 1 species